AAUAUUGGACAAUGGGGGCAACCCUGAUCCAGCCAUGCCGCGUGUGUGAAGUAGGUCAUCGGAUUGUAAAGCACUUUACGUUGGGAGGAAGGGCUUUAGGUUAAUACCCUGAAGUUUUGACGUUACCACCAGAAUAAGCAUCGGCUAACUCUGUUCCAGCAGCCGCGGUAAUACAGAGGGUGCAAGCGUUAGUCGGAAUUACUGGGCGUAAAACGCGCGUAGGUGGUUCAGUAAGAUGGUUGUGAAAUCCCCGGGCUUAACCUGGGAACUGCUUUCAUAACUGCUGAGCUAGAGUACGGUAGAGGGUAGUGGAAUUUCCUGUGUAGCGGUGAAAUGCGUAGAUAUAGGAAGGAACACCAGUGGCGAAGGCGACUACCUGGACUGAUACUGACACUGAGGUGCGAAAGCGUGGGGAGCAAACA
rnacentral:rRNA from 1 species